rnacentral:sRNA from 1 species
AGCCCCGGAACGGCUGAGGAGCCAGCCCGCUCCCCUCCCCUCCCCCUCCCCGGGCCCGGGCCCAGCGCGCCAUCCUCCCCCCCUCCUUCCCUCCCUCCCUCCUUCCUACCUCCCCUCUCCCUCCCCCUUCCCCGCCGGUGGAUGGGAGUGAAGGACGGAAGAGGCCCUGCGGAGGCGGCGGUGCAGCGCUCCGCCAGACAGCCCCCCCGCCACGAAGCUGCAGACAUCAUCCGUGGUCCACUUGCUGACGUCCUCAGGGACUGGGGCCUCCUCUCCAUCCACGGAGAGUCCCCCUAUGGCGCUGGGCCAGGUUCUGCUUCUGCAAGAGCUCCUGCUGCUGGGCGAGCAUCUCCACCCGGGCAGGGGCAGGAAUCCGUAGCCUGGAAUCUGGCACAGAGGUGGAAUGAAUCUUACUUGUUGAAUAUCUUCUGGUUACUAGUUGGAUUCAUUUGUGAAAGAAUCAUUUUCCCCUGUGUGGAAGACACUUAGUGGCAUAUUUAAAUUGCCGGAUCAAAAAGCUUUUUGAUUUCCCAAAGGAGGGACAUACCACUAUAUCAGAUAAGCUUGACAUUACAGCCAAGAUGGUGCUGUCCCAGAGACAACGAGAUGAACUAAUGAAGAAUUAGAUAAAAAGUAUGCUGGUCUUUUGGAAAAAAAAUGGACAUCUGUUAUUAGAUUACAAAAGAAG